rnacentral:rRNA from 1 species
UGGGGAAUAUUGCACAAUGGAGGGAACUCUGAUGCAGCGACGCCGCGUGAACGAAGAAGGCUUUCGAGUCGUAAAGUUCUUUUAUAUGGGAAGAUAAUGACGGUACCAUAAGAAAAAGCCCCGGCUAACUACGUGCCAGCAGCCGCGGUAAUACGUAGGGGGCUAGCGUUGUCCGGAAUCACUGGGCGUAAAGGGUUCGCAGGCGGAAAUGCAAGUCAGGUGUAAAAGGCAGUAGCUUAACUACUGUAAGCAUUUGAAACUGCAUAUCUUGAGAAGAGUAGAGGUAAGUGGAAUUUUUAGUGUAGCGGUGAAAUGCGUAGAUAUUAAAAAGAAUACCGGUGGCGAAGGCGACUUACUGAGCUCAUUCUGACGCUGAGGAACGAAAGAGUGGGUAGCAAACAGG